CAGCUAUUUAAACUCAAGAUGAAAAAUUUAAAAUACCAAAAAUUUUAAGGGAUCCCUUCAGAGUGGAGGAGGAAAAAAAACUGUCAAGGGGGAUAUAUAAUGUUUCAACAUUAUUUUAGGGGACAUGCAAUGCAGGCAAAAUGCUUGAAGACUCCUGAGCUGGACAGCAUUUGUGUUCCUUUCAACUCUUUGGAUUUUGUGGAUGGGGUCUAAGAGGUUACCCUGGUGAGUGGGCACUGCAAGGAGCAGGACACCUGCCUCCAAAUGUAAAGGUUCAUUUACAAGCAAGUCUCCCAACAAAACAAAGUAGAAACAAGCCACCAAAUACGACCCACCACCUCCUUCUCUUACACACACACACACACACACACACACACACACAGCAGACCCCCCAAGUCCCCCAGUAGUGGUUCCAGUAUAGGCCGUUCAUGAACCUGUGGAAAAACAUGAGCUUUGUUAGCAAUGUGGGAUGAUCUGAUCCCUGGGAAAUCUCUAGAGCUGGGAGUGGCCUCAAAGAGGAUCAUUAAAGAUCAAAAACUCCACUUGAAGUUGUCUGCUCUGCUGCAGUGUAAAUCCUCUUGGCUGAGCAGCCCUUGACAGAGUCUGCUGCCUGCACAGAAGUCUUAGAUGGUUGUUUGGUUUGGUUUCUGUGGAAAUCAAGGCGAGGGUCCGAGUUCCACAUCUCUGAGUGCAGACCCAGGACAGUGUACACGGGAUGGCAAAGUGACUCAUACUGAAAGAACCCAGUGGAAGCAGAAGCUAGGAGCCAGAGGUGAGAACAUAAGCCUCCCCACCCCCAGCUGGAGAAUAUGGAGACAUCCUGGGGGCAGUGGCCUUUCCAGGCACAUAGACCUGAGGUCGGAGUUCAUGAGCUUGCAUUUUGUCAUUCAUGAGGAGCCCAGCUUGCUUAUAUUCAGCCCUGCAUAGAUUCCUCAUGCUGUUGUCCUACUCCAGGUGUCAGGAAUAGCUCGGCCCUUCCCAGAGGCAGCAAGAGGGCAAGAAGGACAGAGGAGACUGAGCUGGCAGGUCUCUAAAUGACCUCAAGUCACCACAGCCACUGGUGCUGAAGGAAAUGGGAAAAUAGUCCCGUGACCCAGCGAGUGCUUCCCAUGCAGGAGGACGUAUGACACAGCCCCACCUACAUGCAAGGGGAGCCAGGAAGUGCAAUCCCUGGCUGGGCUGCCAUGUCUCAGAAACCAUUAAGCCUAUGGAAGGUCUCUGGAUUUGAUGGCAAAUAGCAGCAGAAAUAUGGAAAAGAUCAAAGUGAUGUCAAGGUUGAUCUCUGAGUUUGGCAGGGCUGAACUCAAACAUCAUUCGCCAUGGACCCACAGUGUCUUUAGUAGCUGAGUAGGGUCAUUCCCCUGUGAUAUGUGCACUCAAUUGCUAGCCAGUUUUGAAGAUAUUGAGUAUCUGGUUUCCCCUUCCCCACACUGGCCCUCACUGAGAUCCAUGUCUAAUAUUAUGAAAGUCAUACAUUAUCAUUAUGAAAUAAUCAUAAAUGUCAGUGUGCUACAAAAACUUAUUCAGAAAACAUUCAGAUUCUCCCAUCAACAUAUGCCACUAUGCUGGCAAAAGCUCUGAUUUAAAAUACUUAUUUCAUUUUCCUCUCUGAUUUUGUUCUAGUCUUCAAAAUGAUUUCAUACAACAAAGCACUGAGUUCCUUAGUUCCUCUGACCCCUGCCAGAUCUGAAGCUGUGAUGUUCAAAAGUCAGGGCAGAGUCAAUCUUAUGACUGAGUUUCAUAAGAGUCUAAGCUGCUCAUCAACAUACUGUGGCAGAGUAAGCUUUCUGGGUUCCAGAAUUUAUUUUGAGUGGGUUGAGGGAGUUGAGAAAUGGCAUGGGAGGCCUAAAGAUGAAAGGACUUUUGAAUGAAAGUUAUAGGAAAGUGGAUUUGAGAUCAAAACAAGCGAAGGUUGACCAUAGUUGGAACCAUUUAAGAUUGGUGGGGGUAGUGGGCUUCCGGUUCUUAACCAAGGCCAGGCAGAGGUGUGACAACAGUCAGGGGUUUCUAAACGGGAUGGGAGGUUGGAUUAGAUGAGCCUUCAACCUUUGUGUUGAACUAAAAUCCUAGCUCUGCUUUCAACUCCUAGACUCCCUUUUAUCAUUGCUAAAUUGGAAAGAGGGAGCAACUGAGAGUCCCUGCUGGUCAUGCCUGGGGUGCCCCAGACCACAGCACUGAGCCUCAAAGGCAAGUGAGCAUAGUGUUGGGAGUUGAGCUUCUGGAUCCAUCAACUCUAUCUGAUGACUCGGAAGUUCCUUCAGUUCCCGACACUGGAGUCCAGCAAGGCUGGUUUGUCUUGUUUUAAUUAUUAUUUAGAUGACUAUUUGGCUCAUACCUGAGCAAGGUUUGAAUCAAGUCAGACCUGUUAAUUGAAUCAAAGUUAUAUAAUCACAUUUGGGCACUUAAAUGUAAACCAAUUAUGUUGUAGCCCUAGUAUCUUGUACUCAGGAGGGAGUUCUAAUAAGUGCUGGGAAUGUAUGCUAAUGCACAAAGCCUAACCCCCAGAGUGGAGGGUGGAGCACUCCAGGGCACUCCUGUUUCGGUGACAUUGUUGUAAUAGUUAGCGCUCUGGGCGCAGUCUGGUAAGAUACUGGAAACAUCUCAAACAAGUAUGACAUCCAUUCUACCCAAGCCCAUGGAACCCAUUACGUUUGGAACAUGUCUUUCUGUGGCGCUUGGCUUGGCUUAUAAAUGUACUAUCAGAAUCUGUGGGAGGCUUUCGCAAGAAGACCUUUCUUGGCCUUUCUGGUUAUCAGCAUUCCCUCCACCUCUCUCUUAACAAACAUGCCGUAAGGCCUGAUCAGGCAUUUAGUUUUUCCAUGUGGACCUUUUUCUAGUUCCUAAUCUCAACCCCAAUGCCUCUUAAUCUUGUACUUCUUCAAAUAUUGCCCCCCCCCCCCCCCACUGUGAGAGAGAGAGGAAAGUAAGGAGGAGAAGGAGGAAAAGUUAUUGAAUUGAUAUGAGGGUAGUCAACCUAAAGCAACAAUCAGGAGGAAGGCACUGGACUUGAGUUUGAAGUGUUUGUCACUGAACUCUCUCAAACUCAUCCAGGCUAACUAGCCUCAGAGGGCUUCUAGCCCAUAGUCUUCUUGUAUUUUCUGCCCUCCUCACUUGAAGGGGGAGGGAACCAGUUGUCCAGUCUCUGUCCAAUGUUAAGAACUGGCCUGACAGGCUUUGUUGAGACCAUCCAGCCUUGAAAGCCUCACAACCAAAUGCCAUCACAGAUACUUUCUGCCCUUAGCCCUUGUCUGUGUCUCCUACAUGAACUCAGACUGCCUCUGAAGAGGGACAUUCUAGGGAGAGUUUCAUCUUCAUCACCAUCCUGGAUAGGGAACCUUUCCAGACUCAGAGUUGCAAAAGUCAGGGAGAGGCUGCUCACUGGAGGUGGAGUCCUUUGGCCAGGUUUCACUGUAAACACAUGGCUAAAAUGUGUUGCACAUGGACAGGCAUGCUAGUGUGUCCUGUAUUUAUGCUAGUGUGUCUCAUACAGCUUCUGGCUAAAGGACAUUGACCUCAGCAAGGCCAAAUGAGGCAUCAGGAUGAACUCUUCCAAUAGACUUCAUUAGACCCACAGAAGACUGACCUUUGCCUGACUUUGGAUUACCCCUUUCUUGCCAGGAAUUAUGUCCAAUGACUGUAUCUGGAACUAGAGGUCUUGAUAGCCACACUUUGCUUCGUGUGGCUUCUCAGUCUUUUGAGACACGGCUAUCAAGGGCUCAUGUUUAUUCCAGGUCAUCCCUUUACCCCUUUCCUCCAGGGGCAUCUAUGGCAACAAAAGACCAUGAUAUCUGGCAGCGCUGGCAGGACUAUUUAGUUUAGGCAGGAAUGUGAGUGUUAGCAUGUCAGAGUACAUCUGAGAAAACAUUACAAACCAACCUUUCCACACUGGGAACUCAACCCCCAGGAAUCACCAAAGAUAAGGGCAACAGUCUUAUCUCUCAGAGGGAAGUUCAGGGUAAAGGCUGCUCCUGCUGUGGACCAGAGCUCAGGGAAGAAGAAGGCUCAGGCGGACCCUGCCUGUCCACUUGACGAACUUCCACAAAUGCCACUCUGGGGACUGAGGCAUACGAAGUGGGGAAGAAAAUACCAGUCUUGCCCUGGAGCUCUGGGGUGGUGGCUGUACACCCCUAAAGAUGCCAGCAGAUCUGAAUUGUGGCCUAUGUGUGUUUGGGAAUUGGGAAAUAAGGAGAUAGAGGGACAGCAGGCAGGGAAAACUACAAUUAGACUCAACUUGCACAGAUCUGGGAGUAUGUGGAUCUGAAUUGUGGCCUCCAUGCAUUUGGCUGAAGGAUAACGAUCUCAGGCCCCAACUUUUUUUUUUUUUUUUUUUUGUAUCACUUGCUCAGAGGGUUCUGACCAGGAGCUUCUUUCAGAUGACACAGAUCCCGAGGAGCCACUUGCCUUCUACCCAUGACACUUCUAAGAGUGACUCUUGCCAUGUGACCAUAGAGAUAAGUGAAGGUUUUCUCCAAUGAUAUCAUUAAGAAGUCUAAACUUCUCCAAAGGGAGAGGCUGUGACUAGGAACACAAAUGUUUCAGUGUAUCACACUCAUCAUGCUCCCAGAUCUGCGGGCAGAAAAAGAAAUCAUAGAAUGGUACGUAUCCUAAAAAUAGAAUGAAAAUUGCUUUUCAAGUUAUGAAAUCUGGCCCUUCUCAUUGUGAGUUUAAAGUACAUGUUACUGCUUCAAUUUCUAAAACAGGAGGUGGCCAGAUUCAGAGUUUAAAAUGUCUAAGUGGUUAUUUGAAAACAGAUAUUUAGAGGCAACUGAGAGAAGAAUACUGGGGCCAUGGGUCUGCAGUCACUUUCCCAGCAGUGCUCUGAGGCCUUGGGUUUCAUAAAAGAUAAUCAUGGUUACUCCUUUUAAAGAAAGCUGAGUCUAAUUGUAGCUUUUCCUGCCUGCUGUCCCUCGAUCUCCUUAUUUCUCAAUU